GACACGUGCUCACGGGCCCUCGACAGGAAAUGGGCACCUGCAGCCUCCCGGGUCCCCCCCAACCCUCAGCGGGCGCCGUUUGGUGCCGAGAGUACCGGGGGCGCGGGAGUUGCCGCUGCAGGACCUCGCGCACUUCCGGCACCUCGCGGUUUCCACCGGCCCCAACCCGUAAAAGGGUCAAAGGCCAGUCUCCCGGGGCCCACCAGGCUCCACCGCGCCGAGAUGGGGAUGAGGACUUGGCGACGGGGUGGGGAGGGACAAACAAACGGUCAGGCACACGGAUGCUCACAGACAGACUGCCGAGGAUUCGCAGUCUGUCGGGGCUAGCCUGGCGGUGGAUCCCGUGCGUAGGGACGUCUCGGCGGCCGCGGCUCAGACUCCGGACCUCGGAAAGUGAGUCCGAGAUGGAUCAGACCCUCUCUGAUCCUGUCGGGGCUAGGACUAAUCCCGGACUACGGGGUCCCCUUCCGACGCAGAUGGGACAAAGAAAUUAGCGGUAAACAGGAAGAAGGAAAGAAGGUCUGCGUAGUCACCACCCUUGUUUGGGGAUUAUGUCAAAGGUCUGUGUGAGUGUGAGGCCAGGACCAAAUGUCAACAACCGAAGACCGACAACCAUGGGAGAUGAAGAAACUGAGGCCUGGAGAGAACAAGGAGCUGCCAGUGUCACACAACUACAGAGAGAGAGAGAGCUGGGCUCUCCUGCUUU